AUUGAACGCUGGCGGCAGGCCUAACACAUGCAAGUCGAGCGGAUGAAGGGAGCUUGCUCCUGGAUUCAGCGGCGGACGGGUGAGUAAUGCCUAGGAAUCUGCCUGGUUGUGGGGUAUAACGUCCGGAGACGGGCGCUAAUACCGCAUUAGUCCUGAGGGAGUAGUGGGGGAUCCUCGGAACCUACGCUAUCUGCUGAGCCUAGGUCGGAUUAGCUAGUUGGUGGGGUAAAGGCCUACCAAGGCGACGAUCCGUAACUGGUCUGAGAGGAUGAUCAGUCACACUGGAACUGAGACACGGUCCAGACUCCUACGGGAGGCAGCAGUGGGGAAUAUUGGACAAUGGGCGAAAGCCUGAUCCAGCCAUGCCGCGUGUGUGAAGAAGGUCUUCGGAUUGUAAAGCACUUUAAGUUGGGAGGAAGGGCAGUAAGUUAAUACCUUGCUGUUUUGACGUUACCAACAGAAUAAGCACCGGCUAACUUCGUG
rnacentral:rRNA from 1 species